rnacentral:rRNA from 1 species
ACUGAGUGGCGGACGGGUGAGUAACGCGUGGGUAACCUGCCCUGUACAGGGGGACAACAGUUAGAAAUGACUGCUAAUACCGCAUAAGCGCACAGGACCGCAUGGUCCGGUGUGAAAAACUCCGGUGGUACAGGAUGGACCCGCGUCUGAUUAGGUAGUUGGCGGGGUAACGGCCCACCAAGCCGACGAUCAGUAGCCGACCUGAGAGGGUGAUCGGCCACAUUGGGACUGAGACACGGCCCAAACUCCUACGGAAGGCAGCAG